rnacentral:rRNA from 1 species
ACGAGGUAGCAAUACCUAGUGGCAGACGGGUGAGUAACACGUGGUCAACCUGCCUUUGUGUGGGGGAUAACUAGCCGAAAGGUUAGCUAAUACCGCAUACGAUCGCUCGGGGGCAUCCCUAAGCGAUGAAAGGAGCAAUCCGCACGAAGAGGGGACUGCGUCCCAUUAGUUAGUUGGUAGGGUAAUGGCUUACCAAGACUCCGAUGGGUAGCUGGCUUGAGAGAGCGACCAGCCACACUGGAACUGAGACACGGUCCAGACUCCUACGGGAGGCAGCAGUGAGGAAUUUUCCGCAAUGGGCGAAAGCCUGACGGAGCGACGCCGCGUGUGGGAAGAAGGCCUUCGGGUCGUAAACCACUGUCGAAGGGGACGAUAUUGACGGUACCCUUGGAGGAAGCCCCGGCUAACUACGUGCCAGCAGCCGCGGUAAGACGUAGGGGGCAAGCGUUGUCCGGAAUUAUUGGGCGUAAAGCGCUCGUAGGUGGAUUAACAAGUCUGCAAGCAAAGACCCGGGCUCAACUCGGGAAUCCGUGUGGAAACUGUUGAUCUUGAGGUAGUCAGAGGAUGAUGGAAUUCCCGGUGUAGCGGUGAAAUGCGUAGAUAUCGGGAGGAAC